rnacentral:rRNA from 1 species
GGGGGGGGCUAGCGUUGUUCGGAAUUACUGGGCGUAAAGGGUGCGCAGGCGGCCUGGGAAGUCUUGGGUGAAAGCCCCCAGCUCAACUGGGGAAUGGCCUGAGAAACCACUGGGCUGGAGUGCUGGAGAGGGAAGCGGAAUUCCCGGUGGAGCGGUGAAAUGCGUAGAUAUCGGGAGGAACACCAGAGGCGAAGGCGGCUUCCUGGACAGACACUGACGCUGAGGCACGAAAGCUAGGGGAGCAAACGGGAUUAGAUACCCCGGUAGUCCUAGCUGUAGACGAUGGGUACUAGAUGUGGGAGUAAUUGAAGUCCUUCCGUGUCCCGCGAUAACUCAAUAAGUACCCCGCCUGGGGAGUACGGCCGCAAGGCUG